GAUGAACGCUGGCGGCGUGCUUAACACAUGCAAGUCGAACGGAAAGGCCGAAGCUUGCUUCGGUACUCGAGUGGCGAACGGGUGAGUAACACGUGGGUGAUCUGCCCUGUACUUCGGGAUAAGCUUGGGAAACUGGGUCUAAUACCGGAUAUGACGAUCUCUUGGAUGGGGUUGUGGAAAGCUUUUGCGGUAUGGGAUGAGCUCGCGGCCUAUCAGCUUGUUGGUGGGGUAAUGGCCUACCAAGGCGUCGACGGGUAGCCGGCCUGAGAGGGUGUACGGCCACAUUGGGGCUGAGAUACGGCCCAGACUCCUACGGGAGGCAGCAAUGGGGAAUAUUGCACAAUGGGCGCAAGCCUGAUGCAGCGACGCCGCGUGGGGGAUGACGGCCUUCGGGUUGUAAACUCCUUUCGCAAUCGACGAAGCCUUUUGGUGACGGUAGGUUGAGAAGAAGCACCGGCUAACUACGUG
rnacentral:rRNA from 1 species